rnacentral:tRNA from 2 species
CUUAGCUCAGCUGGAUAGAGCAACGGCCUUCUAAGCCGUAGGUCGCAGGUUCGAAUCCUGCAGG